rnacentral:rRNA from 1 species
AGUAGGGAAUAUUAGAAAUGGACGAAAGUCUGAUCUAGCGACACCGCGUGUGCGAUGAAGGCCUUCGGGUUGUAAAGCACUUUUUGGAAGGAAUAGGAAGGAAGGUACUUCCAGAAUAAGUCUCGGCUAACUACGUGCCAGCAGCCGCGGUAACACGUAGGAGGCAAACGUUAUCCGGAUUUACUGGGCGUAAAGCGCGUGUAGGUGGUUCUGUAAGUAGGGCGUGAAAGCUCCCGGCUCAACUGGGAGAGGCCGUUCUAAACUGCAGAGCUAGAGGAUGGUAGAGGGAGGUGGAAUUCCAGGUGUAGCGGUGGAAUGCGCAGAUAUCUGGAGGAACACCAGUGGCGAAAGCGGUCUCCUGGACCAUUCCUGACACUCAGACGCGAAAGCUAGGGUAGCAAACGGGAUUAGAGACCCCGGUAGUCCUAGCCCUAAACGAUGUAGACUAGACGUCGGCGGUGUAAUAGCUGUCGGUGUCCAAGCUAACGCGAUAAGUCUACCGCCUGGGGACUACGGCCGCAAGGUUAAAACUCAAAGGAAUUGACGGGUCCCCGCACAAGCAGCGGAGCGUGUGGUUUAAUUCGUUGCUACACGAAGAACCUUACCUGGGUUUGACAUAGCAGUGGUAGGGAAGAGAAAUCGGACCGACCCUUCGGGGAGCUGUUACAGGUGUUGCAUGGCUGUCGUCAGCUCGUGUCGUGAGAUGUUCGGUUAAGUCCGCUAACGAGCGCAACCCGCGUUGUGUGUUAUAUGUGUCACACAAUACCGCCGGUAUUAAGCCGGAGGAAGGUGCGGAUGACGUCAAGUCAGCAUGACCUUUAUAUCCAGGGCUACACACACGCUACAAUGGACAGUACAACAGGUUGCCAAGCCGCGAGGCGGAGCCAAUCCUCUAAAGCUGUCCUCAGUUCAGAUUGCAGGCUGCAACUCGCCUGCAUGAAGUUGGAGUUGCUAGUGACCGCAGGUCAGCUAUACUGCGGUGAAUACGUUCCCGGGGAUUGUACACACCGCCCGUCAAGUCAUGGAAGCUGGCAACACCUGAAGCCGGUAUCCUAACCCGUAAGGGAGGGAGCUGUCAAAGGUGGGGUCGGUGACUGGGACU